rnacentral:rRNA from 1 species
UACAGAGGUCUCAAGCGUUGUUCGGAUUCAUUGGGCGUAAAGAGCUCGUAGGUGGUUUGUCGCGUUGUCCGUGAAAACUCACAGCUUAACUGUGGGCGUGCGGGCGAUACGGGCAGACUGGAGUACUGCAGGGGAGACUGGAAUUCCUGGUGUAGCGGUGGAAUGCGCAGAUAUCAGGAGGAACACCGGUGGCGAAGGCGGGUCUCUGGGCAGUAACUGACGCUGAGGAGCGAAAGCGUGGGGAGCGAACAGG